GGGCCCGUCGCCUAGCGCGCGUCGCCUUUCGCGACGCGUGCUUCAAACACGGAUAGGGCACGGGGCUUCGGACCCCGGUGUCGCGGGUUCAAAUCCUGCCGGGCCCGCCA
rnacentral:tRNA from 1 species